rnacentral:rRNA from 1 species
GAUGAACGCUGGCGGCGUGCCUAAUACAUGCAAGUCGAGCGAACAGAUGAGGAGCUUGCUCCUCUGACGUUAGCGGCGGACGGGUGAGUAACACGUGGAUAACCUACCUAUAAGACUGGGAUAACUUCGGGAAACCGGAGCUAAUACCGGAUAAUAUAUUGAACCGCAUGGUUCAAUAGUGAAAGACGGUUUUGCUGUCACUUAUAGAUGGAUCCGCGCCGCAUUAGCUAGUUGGUAAGGUAACGGCUUACCAAGGCAACGAUGCGUAGCCGACCUGAGAGGGUGAUCGGCCACACUGGGACUGCGACACGGUCCAGACUCCUACGGGAGGCAGCAGUAGGGAAUCUUCCGCAAUGGGCGAAAGCCUGACGGAGCAACGCCGCGUGAGUGAUGAAGGUCUUCGGAUCGUAAAACUCUGUUAUUAGGGAAGAACAAAUGUGUAAGUAACUAUGCACGUCUUGACGGUACCUAAUCAGAAAGCCACGGCUAACUACGUG